rnacentral:misc_RNA from 1 species
AAAACACUUCCCAACAAAUACAUUAGUUGGUCAGUGUACUGAUCAUCUACAUUUCUAUAUGGUGAACUCGGCCAAUGAAAUCAAUCUUGUCUUAAUGUGAUAUGCCUAAUAUAUUCUCUGUUGCUUUAUUAUUGUAGAUCUCCAUCUCCUUCCAUAUUGUAUCAACAUCCAGUAGCUACUCCUUAAAAGCUAUUUGGUUCAUGGCUUCAUGCCUUUUAGGUUUCGUCAUUGAGUUACAGAUUGCAUAUAUCUCUCUUCUUUUUUCACGCCGCCCUUUAUCUUCAAUCUAAAACCAAUAGCUUGUGCCGAGUAGUUAGAGCCUCACCAGGGAUAACUUUUCAAUUCUUUCAUAGAGCUUUGUCUCCUAAACACUUUAAAAAUUUAAAGAGCCUCAAAUUGACAGUUCAUGGAGUACAUGAAGACUUCCCACAAGUUUCUAUACUGAAUUCUAUUCUUCUUCCUUAAAUCAUUUUUACUCGCAUUUAAUAUUUGUAAGGAAUAGUAGCUGUUUUAGUGACUAC